rnacentral:rRNA from 1 species
AAUUGCGAAGGCAGCUUUCUGGAUCAUUACUGACACUGAGGAACGAAAGCAUGGGUAGCGAAGAGGAUUAGAUACCCUCGUAGUCCAUGCCGUAAACGAUGUGUGUUAGACGUUGGAAAUUUAUUUUCAGUGUCGCAGGGAAACCGAUAAACACACCGCCUGGGGAGUACGACCGCAAGGUUAAAACUCAAAUGAAUUGACGGGGACCCGCACAAGUAGUGGAGCAUGUGGUUUAAUUCGAAGAUACGCGCAGAACCUUACCAACACUUGACAUGUUCGUCGCGACUCUAAGAGAUUAGAGUUUUCGGUUCGGCCGGACGAAACACAGGUGCUGCAUGGCUGUCGUCAGCUCGUGUCGUGAGAUGUUGGGUUAAGUCCCGCAACGAGCGCAACCCUCACUUUUAGUUGCCAUCAUUAAGUUGGGCACUCUGAAAGAACUGCCAGUGAUAAGCUGGAGGAAGGUGGGGAUGACGUCAAGUCCUCAUGGCCCUUACGUGUUGGGCUACACACGUGCUACAAUGGCAUCUACAACAGGAAGCAAAACGGCAACGUUAAGCAAAUCCCGAAAAGAUGCCUCAGUUCGGAUUGCACUCUGCAACUCGAGUGCAUGAAGCUGGAAUUACUAGUAAUCGUGGAUCAGCGUGCCACGGUGAAUGCGUUCCCGGGUCUUGUACACACCGCCCGUCACACCAUGGGAGUUGGUUCUACCUUAAGGCAAGGUUUCAAACCCUUGACCACGGUAUAGUCAGCGACUGGGGUGAAGUCGUAACAAGGUAGCCGUA